rnacentral:lncRNA from 1 species
AUUGCAUUUGUCUUUUUAUAGGCAAUAUAAAAAAGAUGAAAGUCAAUCAGAAGAAGAAAAAGGUUAUAGAAAUCUGAAUGGCUCACCAACUUACAAAGGCCUUCUACUGGUAUGGAGACUAACUUCUAAAUCAUUUUUCUGAAGUAAAAUACCUAGGAAAGUUAAGUAUUUUUCUGUGUAAUGUGUUCCAGUCAUUACAGAAUCAACUCAAGGAAUCAAACUCCAAGAUUGAUGCACUUUUAAGUGAAAAGCUGAACCUCCAAAAAGAUUUAGAAAGCAGAUUACAGGAGCUUAUCAGUCAUACAAAAACCGAGGACACAGAGAAAAAAGAUGAAUCCAGCAAAGAAAGCCAUCACCAAGCUCUAGUUGACCAGAGAUACUCUCAGGUAUUGAAUAGCUGACAAAAACAGUGGUGUUUGUAAUGGACUUGGUUUGGGUUGCAGUGUGAUUCAUUAUCACUUGGUAAGGAAUACUUGUACAGUUGUCCCUUGGUAUAUGUGGGAGAUUGGUUCCAUGAUGCAUGUGGAUACCAAAGUCUGCAGAUGCUCAAAUAAAUAUAUAUAAAAUAGCAUCUCUACAUUACAUAUACCUAAUACAACAUAAAUGCUAUGCAAAUAGGCUGGGGAUUUAGCUCAGUGGCACCUUGCUUGUCUUGCAAGAGCAAGGUCCUGAGUUCAAUCCUGGCACUACAAAAAGUAAUAAUAAUAAUAAUUGUCUAGCUAAUAAUGGCAAGAAAAAGCAUAUUGAUUAAGAGUUUUAAAAGAUAAUGCUCUCCCUGAAGCCAUUUUCCUUUUGUUUUUGUUGUUGCUAUUUCAUAAGUAAAUCUAUUUUUUAGGGUCCUUUUAUAGUUUUUCUGUUGUUUAAAUAUUUACUCUAUGUGAAAUUUAAUUUUCUAUGUGGUGUCAUGAAAGGAAUCUAACAUUACUUGAUUUAUAGAUUAUUUAUUGAAUAUAUCAGCAAUUAAGUCUGGUAGUUUGAAUCAGACCUGUACUCAUAUUUUAUUGGACCUACAUAAGCUUUUAAAUUUUGAAUUAAUUAACAUUCCUUUAAAUAUUAAUAUGUGUCCUUCUGGAUGAACAACUUUCAAGUUAUAAAAUCUCAUUGGAUUGACUUUACAGAUUAAUAUUUAGGGCCAGGGAUUUAGCUCAUUGGUGCUGCUGCCUGCCUCGCAAGCGCAAGGUCCUGAGUUCGAUCCCUGAUACCAAAAACAAAACAUUAAUAUUUAGAGAAAUGAUACUUUUACAGUUUUGAAUCAUCCUAUUCAGAAAUAUGUAAUUUUAUUUGGGUCUUCUUUUGUAGUCUUCAAUAAAGUUUAACAUACUUAAAUUUAGUUCUCAUAUAUUUCUUGUUAAGUUCAUUUUGCAGGUAUUUAAUAGCUUUUAUUGCUGUUGUGAAUGGGUUCUAGGCUCCUUUCUGAAAACUGUUUAUUUUAGUUAUCUCUCUGUCAGAAGGAGUUCCUCUUUCCUGGCUGCCUUUGGCAUCAUUUUUUUCCCCCCUCUGGACUUUAUCUGAAACAUUAACACUUCAAAGAUAUUGGUAAUGCAACUACACAUCAGUGAUCCUAGAUCUCUACUCACUGACUGCAAAUCUUGGAACUUGUCAGCCCCCGUAAUUGUGUGAACCAAUUGCUUAUAAUGAAUCUGUGUGUGUGUGCGU